rnacentral:lncRNA from 1 species
UCUUCUUCUUUUUUAGAUAAGACUUUAGGGUCUUAUCAUUUGGUAUCAGAGCGACGAUCCUUGGCAUUCUCGCUGCAACGAAGCUAUCAAAAAAUAAAAAAUAAAAAGAAACGAAAGAAAGAGAGAAAGAAAGAACGAAAGAAAGAAAGAAAGAGAGAAGAAGAAGCAGCAACCACACCACGCACCCCUGCUUCCCCUGCUUCCGGCCAGCCCACCCG